rnacentral:lncRNA from 1 species
UAAAGCUUCAUACAAUUCCAGUUAGCCUUUCCGCCUAUCUAUCGCCACCCUUGGGUUUUCUUAAUUGAAUACAUACUUGUGGAGUCUGCGAUUAUUUCUGGCUGAGUUUAUUUCACUGUCAUGUAAACAGCUACAAUCACACAGGCGAUAUGUAUACGUACAUCUCUAGCUUCUCAUCAUAGACUUAAUAGGGUCUGCCCUUCGCAGGUCUUUUUGCUUCUAAUCAUGGCGCCCAAUUUCAGGAUAUUUACGGCUGCUAGGAGCAUGUCACCCAUGUCACUCAGGAUGAAACAUGGAGCACCUGAAUGUGUCCACGUCCCCACCCGAAACAAAGGACCUGCUGCUGUGCACAUUCGAAACCGGUAAGAAUGUAAGGGUAGAGGGUGGGUGUUUGGCGGGGUGGAACCAUUCCAACGGUUGUCAGUCGCGAAUGCAAGUUUGCGCGUGUUUGCGCGCAUGCACGUGAAAUAAAAGAAUGAGAGAAAAUGACAGCUCUGUUUGCAAGACAACGAGGUUUCCUCAAAACGACAUCUUUAUCCUCAGGAUUUACUUUACCUCCGCUACAGCCAAAUCUGUUCCCAUGUCUGUGGACAGUACGCAGAGCGGGGACUUAACGCCGACCUGCUGCUAAGACUGAUGUAUAACUACGACCUUAGGCGACUUCCUCAACUCUCCCUGCACACGAUUCUCUAAGCACCAAGCCUUAUACAACUAUUACUGGAUGACAUUUUGAAUAUUGAUAAGAGUAUGAUUUGUAGUUUCUGAAGUAUAUAUCAGGGCUGCCUUCCCUUGAGGGGUGCAUGCACACUUAAAACAAUAUUACAGUUUUUAAUUACUGCCUUCGUGACAUCUUUAGGGUGUGAGGGGUGCAGCACAUCAUGAUUGCAAGCCAUUUGAUAGUCAAGGAAUGGAUUCGUUGCUGUGUCUAUGUCGGUGCCACUUUUCAACAUCGCAGAUUCUUUCCCUCGCUCUCCAUAGAAACUCACAAAUGCGUAUCAUACACCACAUACACGCAUAUCUACAUUAAUGGCGAUUAGCGAGCUUUAUUUUCUCUCUCUUUUUCACUCUCACUCUAUCUCAGGCACAGACGCGCGCGCACACACACACCUGGAAGAACGCAUACGAACAUUGAAUACCGUACACAAACACCUGACAGUAAACAAACCGAUUUCCCUUUCAGUGGCACCGAGGUCAAAACAGCAAUAAAAGAGAACCAACAAAUGACAAACAUUAAUUUAAGACAGCUGACGGCUGGACAUGCCAUCAAACUGUAAACCAAAACGUACAAUACACAUAAAUAAUUGGAUCCUUAAAUACACAGCACGGCAGCACAGCCACUGGAAUUAAAAAAACAAAAAACAAAACAAAAGCAAAUAAACAACAACCAAAAACCGCGGAGCUGGGUGGGAUGAGAGACAAUUCUGACAGCGAAAUCGCCCUCGGAACUCGGUCUUUGACAAGAUAAACUGCAGUCACGUGCAGCUGGCGGGACGAUUGGUCAGAAGCCCGCGGGCACAGUGUCACCAGCAGCUGCCUACAGCUUCAGCGACACGCAGACUCGUGUACAAGGUGAAGUCGACAGGCAGCUUGUGGGAGAAAAAAAGGACAUCGAGUACUUUACAUAUGAUGGGAGGGUAAUUUACGUACAGUGCACGACCUCGUGACUCCCUGACCUUUUGAACCACAGGCGCGCGCCGCGCACGCACGCAAGAAAACGUACAUGAUACAAAGAACACAGAGCGAGCGUGAGAGCUAUUCUAACACUUUUUUUCAGAAGUAAAUUCAUAAAUAAAAGCUUUUUCUUAUAUAUUUAUACUUUGACUGCACGUAGGAAAGCACCAAACGCAAACAAAACAUGAUUAAAAUUGACAUAACUAAACAAUAACAUAAAAUAUUUAAUUUAAUACAAUAUAUAAUGGAACAAAUAUUUGAAUAACAUAACAGUAAUAAAAUGAAAGAUGAAACAAAUUAAUAUUGACCAAGCAAACUAUUGCUGCUGACACCAGCCUCUAAUUUUAAUAUCACUCUUUAAAAAUAAUCUUUUCAAACUUGGAUGUGGUUUAAUUUAACAGAUCAGUAUUCUAUAAUGAUGAUGAGGAGGACAACAAUGAAAUGCCAAAGUAUACCCAAAGAAACCAAAAUCAAAAUGACACUUGAAAAAUGUUGAGUAUCUGAACAAUUAGAAAUAUAAAAAGAAGUAGUAGAGGAACAAUUAGUCUCCUCUAGAACAGGCCAAAGCUACUAAAAAUAAAGACAAGAACAAUGGCAGGUGCAUAUGAAGCCAAUAUUUGUGGAACUGACCAACACAAAAGCACUGGACGGCUGCGUGUGUUGUUUGUGUCGAAGCAAUCACUUGUUUCGGUGACUGUUCUACACAUAGGGACUUGAACAUACACCAUAAAAAUAAAGAGAAUUGAAAAUUCGAAUUCUGGCAAACGAAACAUAAAAACUACCACUUGUAAAACUGUUGGCGAAAGUGGUCGAAGAACAAGAAAUAAACAAAUACACAAACAAACGAACAAUUGUUCGCCUUGAUUCAGGAGGUGGCUCGUUCUGACAGAACCUUGAAAGCCGACAAAGCCAAAGACUGCACUAGGAGAGGUCCGCGGUUUGUGUUAUCUUGGCAGUCACGUGGCGAUACAGGAGUGAUAGUGCGUAAUUGCACCUGGACUUUGAAGUCGCCGACAGGCAGGUAUAAGGUGAUCAGUACAGCAAGAGUACGCCUGUUCCCGGCAACAGUGACUCAGCAAGUUGUACAGGGACAGAAAUCUUCACCUAGUGCCGGGUGUUUGUUGCCCUACUCACCAGCCCCUGUACUAUUCAUACCGGCCUCUCUCUCUCUGCCUGUGUGCUCGCCGAUUCUAUUGAGCAGACCCUACAUUUACAUUCCCGUCAUUGUUUGUACUUGCUAAGAUUCUGGCACUUGGUAUACACUGUAUAAGUUUAUUGAUAUGAUAUAUAAAAAUGCAGUUACUCUUUUAUGCUAAUUUUAGAUAUUAUCAUUUAUAUUCCACACUGCAUGUCUGUGUUAUUUCCAGAUACUGAUGACUUACUCCUUGGUGGAAUCAAUAAAAUGCUCAUGGCUCUGUGUGUGUUGAGGGAGUGGGGUGGUAUAUCAUCACAUCAGUGAGGGUAUCAACACACGGGUAUCGAACCAGCUACUGUUCGCGAUGCCAAUCUCAGACGCAUAUGCUCCAUAAGCUAUCUCCAUCCUUCCCUUAUUCGAUGGGGUAGUCUCAAAUAUGACUUCUUUGCAUCAUGCAACAGAUUCGUCUUGACAAGCAACAGUUUCAUCUCGCUUUGGUAUAUAACGAUCAAACAACGGAUGGAUGGUCCGACAGUUGACGCCACUUAAUUGUAGCAGCAGUUACCCCCUGGGUAGGGGUUGCGGCUAAGUCGCAUAUGCAUGGUCGACUCGCGCCGUCCUUGGUCGAAUAAAAACAAAACAAAUAAAAAAAAAACCAUGACGCCGGCUGACACAUCUCUGGAUGAUCAGAACAGCCUAACCCUAUCAUCAAACAGGUUAAAGUUCGUCCACAGUACGCCUUGCGACGACAGAGCUCGAUCAGCUGAAGCUGCAUGAGGUCUACGGAGCAAGCCGCCAUGUCUAAAAGCAAAGAGCAAACAUGUUGACGGACGUGGAAAAGCUAAGAGGGAGGGAGGAGGGUGCUACACAAUAGAAUGUGUAUUCACAUCUGUUUUGCUCCUUAAGAUUGUGUGGCGAGAAGCACGUACACAGGGACAGUCAAAAGUCGGUCAGAAGUACGAUUAUUAGAAAGAAAAAAAAAAUGUCGAGCUCUUAUUCUUCGUAGACAGUUCGUUCUGUACUUCAGGACAGACCUCAGGUUAGGAUACUUCUGUCGGCCACCCUGCGGUGACUGCUUGCAUAAAUGCAUGUGUGUUCGUGCACGCGCACGUUCCUAUGUAGACAGAACGCUCGCGCGUUGUUUUCGCUCCGGUACGGUGAGCGACGCAGGCUCACGAGCAGAGCUUCCAGACAACCUCGCGCACACAAUCAUGGCGUCCGUCGUGAGGCCAAAGCAACGGAUCUGAGAGACACUGUGGAUGUUCAGUAGUAGGGAAACAUACUAGAGUCGGAUGAAUAACAGAAAAAAAACUGCACGCUUCACCUAGGGCAUGCACAAUUCCACUGAUACACAUGAUCACACAAACAUCAGAACUGCGUAUGUGAGCGCCCGUCAAAAGCGAGACACAUGAUUAUGAUACUUGUUUACAACUUUAAAAAUAAACUGCAAACGUCUGCAGCAAGUCGCUAGCAAGUGGAACAAAAGUUUAAAUUUAUUCUCGUUUAUACCCCCCAUUUGACUGAGCUUUGUUUAAAAAGUCCACUUAAAUUUUGUAAUGUUUAUUGUUGAUCCUCUCCACAUAUAUCGAUAUCAUCAUCAUGGGCCUAGAUUUCUGCUAAUAAUGGAUUCUGUGAUUAACAAAUUGGUGUUGGCUCACUCAAAGUACCUGAGCUCAGGUACAACUGUGUCAGAAGAAGGAGGACGUAGAUGUGCGACAUCCAGGUGCUUGACCAGGUAUCUGUUAGCUUCCAGCAAAGCCUGAGAAGAAAUGACAAUGACAGGAUAAAGUGGUGAGAAGAAGCCUUACCGGACAGUUGAUAAUUUUACGAGUCAGCUGAACCAAUUCCUUCUCUCUCUCCAUUCUUGUACGACACUACAUGUGAAAGCAAAUUGAUGGAAAGAUAUUAUGCUGAUUAUUAAAAUACAUACCUUAACAAGUUUGACAUUUACAAUUAAAGUUAAUUAUCAGUAUAUGGCAUUGAAAACAAAGAUGUUUUGAAUUCUGAUCUACAGUGUUUUUUUAUGACCACAGUGAGCACAGAAAUAUCCUUGUCUCCGUUAGCACUAAAACAUCUGGUAUCUACUAUAGUAAAAAUGCAUUACAUUGACUGCCUACUGUUGCAAUAACAGCUUUUAAUUACUCUGUGUACUUAUCCACUGGCAUCAAUAAUGAUUUUUCAAGAACUACAAUCGUCAAUCAAGAACUACACAUGCACAAUCAAAGCCACCAACCUACUCAGACAUAUACACUAUACACCAAUCCGCAUCUCCAUCCAUCAAAUCAUGCUUGCAUGGGGA